rnacentral:rRNA from 1 species
AACAAGGUUUCCGUAGGUGAACCUGCGGAAGGAUCAUUAUUGAAAUAAACCUGAUGAGUUGUUGCUGGCUCUCUAGGGAGCAUGUGCACGCUUGUCAUCUUUAUAUCUCCACCUGUGCACAUUUUGUAGACUUGGAUAACUCUCUGAGUGCUUUUUAGCACUCAGGUUUGAGGAUUGACAUUUAUGUCUCUCCUUACAUUUCCAGGCCUAUGUUUCUUCAUAUACCCCCAAUGUAUGUUAUAGAAUGUAAUCAAUGGGCCUUUGUGCCUAUAAACCUAUACAACUUUCAGCAACGGAUCUCUUGGCUCUCGCAUCGAUGAAGAACGCAGCGAAAUGCGAUAAGUAAUGUGAAUUGCAGAAUUCAGUGAAUCAUCGAAUCUUUGAACGCACCUUGCGCUCCUUGGUAUUCCGAGGAGCAUGCCUGUUUGAGUGUCAUUAAUAUAUCAACCUCUUCAGCGUUUGCUUGUUUGAGUGUUGGAUGUGGGGGUCUUUUUGCUGGCCUCUCUUAUUGAGGUCAGCUCCCCUGAAAUACAUUAGCGGAACAAUUUGUGGACCCGUUCAUUGGUGUGAUAAUUAUCUACGCUACUGACGUGAAGCAAGUUCAGCUUCUAACAGUCCAUUGACUUGGACAAUUUUUUCAUUAAU